rnacentral:rRNA from 1 species
CCCUUAGAUGUUCUGGGCCGCACGCGCGCUACACUGAUGCAUUCAACGAGCCUAGCCUUGACCGAGAGGUCCGGGUAAUCUUUGAAACUGCAUCGUGAUGGGGCUAGAUUUUUGCAAUUAUUAAUCUUCAACGAGGAAUGCCUAGUAAGCGUGAUUCAUCAAAUCGCGUUGAUUACGUCCCUGCCCUUUGUACACACCGCCCGUCGCUCCUACCGAUUGAGUGUGUUGGUGAGGAGUUUGGAUUGGCCUCGGAAGGUGGUUCGCCACCGUCCGUAGCUGAGAAGUUCUCCAAACCGCCCCACUUAGAGGAAGGAGAAGUCGUAACA